CAGUAGAAGCUGGUCGAUGCUGGCAACAUAUGAAGCAAAGAAAAAUCACGUUGAGCUGCUUCUGUACACUAUUAGAUCAUGGAAACCCCAAGACUCUGUUUGCUCCAUCCCUUCUUAAUCAAGUCAAAGCUUCCAGGAAACAAGAGAAGUUCUUUGUCACCUGUUAUGACUCAUUAGUAAACACAGAAAUCGGCUUUCUUUUCCGAUGGCUCCUUUCUGCAAUUCUUGGAUUGGUGUGUUAUGCUUGAUUUACUAUUGUCUGUGCCCAAUUACCAAAACUGGAUCUUUUGCUAGAGUUCAAAGACCACUCUUUUCGAAGAUCUACAUCGGUUGGGUUUCUUCUUCUUUUAUACCUUUGUUCAUAUAUACAAAUCACAACUUUAGAGGGUUAUGUUUUGUGAUCACUCGGACGGACAGUCCACCACUGGUAGUACCUGAAUGGCAAUUCAAACGAGAGCUCGAAAUUUAAAUGAGAACAUCUGUACGGUAUAUGAUUUAGGUUUUGUAGGGGUUUCUGACUACUGGUUGCCAUAAUCAGCAUGAUAUCCAGAUGAAAAAUCUUAAAAGUAACCCGAUUCUUAAAUGAGUGCAACAUAGUAAAUGAUAGAAUCAAGAGGUCUGACCGGUAGCGAUUGGUUUCGACAUUUUAAACGAUAACUAGCCUCCAUCUCAUUAUCAGAAACAUCCUUUUUUAUUUCAAGUUUUUUGUUACCAUCUAAGUUCUCUCUUGAAGUUACUAUUCAUUAUCUUUUAUCGGUCGUUCUGAUACUAGAACUUCUUUAAAGGCAACUAAUUCAAAUUUUCUUCGAUUUCAGUGGGUGGCAAGUUUCCUGCAAGCUCGCUCAAGCAACAGCAAGUUAAUGCUUAUAGGAUGUUGGAGAAAGAAAAGAUGAAUAAGAGUUUAAAUGACUACAUCACUAUAAGUUCACAAUUGAAGGUGAUUCAUUCUAUGGCUUCUUUCAUGUUCAUUGCCCUUUUAGCACUGUUGAGCUUUUAUAGAUCUCAAGGGGAGGAAUCCCCCUUCCUUCUGGAUCUGUUGAUUUAUAUAAUGAUUUGUAACUCAUCUUUUGAUCCUCUCAGCGAAAAGUGGAGAAGGUGGUGAUUGAGACGGAUGAUAUUGCAAAAGGGCUUGUUGAGCUCAUCGAACGACAUCGGAUCACCAAACUCGUCAUGGGAGCAGCAGCAGAUAAGCAUUACUCUAAGUACGAACUACAUCCCUAGUUGUGUUGCAUAUUUUAACAAAAAAAGAAAAAGGCUGCAACAGCUUUCGCCGACAAGGUUGCUUAUCUCCAAGAAAUUAACAUGUCCUAUUUGCAGAAUAAAAUUAUGUUCAUGCAGUAUCUAUAUGUGCUCAUCAUUGGUUUCCCUUAUUGACAUCUUUGAGAAAAGCAUGGACUAAACUAUUGGUCUACUCCCCAGAGUAAGACUAGUUGUUUCAAGCCGCUUUUGACCUCAUGAAGUAGGACCUUCUGUUCCGCUCAUCCAUAAUUCUCGUAGAAUUUUUAUGACCUCAAAUAGUUAUUUCUUUAGAGUCAACCUCAUACUGAUAGAAAAGGGCUGGGUGAUGUACCCAUCUAAAAUACUCUGAUGAUUGCUUAGAAAUUUCCUGCUUUAAAGUUUUGACCCAGGUAGGAGGACGGCUUGCUGUUAUUUAUUUGCCACUUCUCGACUAGGAAAUCUUGACAGUCUAUACACUACUCUACAUUAGAGGCAAUAGGUUAAUGACUUUUGUUAUUCAAUAAGACUACAAUAUCAAUCGAAUACAUAGAAAAUAGAUGUUUUUUCCUAACUAGAAAUUUGACCCAAAAGAUUAAUUGAACUCAAGAUACCACUUAUUUACUCCAUUUUAUAGCCAUGAAAGUAAAGGACAAAACUAAAUGAAAUAUGCAAAAACAGAAAAUAAAUCAAGUGCAACUUGAAUCAUAAAGAAAAUGAAAAAAAGUUUAUGGCACAUUAAUUGAUGGCAUUGGACUUCAAAAGAACAGAUAUGUUAUGCUUAUUAUUUAUACAUGAAUAAUACCACAUUAUAAUGAAAAAUAGAAAGAACAGAAGAUAAUUGGGUAUUCUAUUUGAUGCUAACUCCUAACCAAUUCAAGAUGUUUAUUUUACAGGAAAAUGAAAGAGAUCAAAUCCAAGACAGCAAUCAGUGUGAAGCAACGAGCUAAUCCAUCAUGCAGGAUAUGGUUCGCUUGCAAAGAGAAAUUGAUUUGCACCAGGUGCGAAUGUUCUUAAGCAUGACUCACUCACUCUCUCUCUCUCUCUCUCUCUCUCUCUCUCUCUCUUUUGUGUUGAUGAUUUUGAUCACGAAUUUGCUAUUUUUUUACCACUAAUUUGUUAAUUUUUAAAGAGACUUUCUUGUGUUUUAGAUUAAAAUCCAUGUGUUUGAUCUUUCUUUUGGUUUUCAGCUCUAGAUUUAAACAAUGAUAAUUUUGAUUGUUUUCUUACAUUAUACUGUUUCUUUCCAUUUCUGCAGGUUGUCCUUCUAGUGUCGAGAAUUAUUAGUAUAACAUUAGUUAGAAUUUUAGUCCAAAAAGUCCUACUAGUAUUUGCAUUCCGUAUGCUUUUGUCCUUUGCAAUUUCAUUGAGAUGUUGAUAUUGUCUAAAAAUAACAUCUAUAAUUAAUGGCAUUGUCCAAUCUUAAACCACAUUAACAUGUAUUCUUCUGUAAACUAAGAUGUAGUCUAUAUAGAUGGCACACCUGUGUCUCUGUGUGAGAACCACUUAGCCUUUGUACAGAUUUCCAGAAUAUAAACGAUUAUAAAUAGCAUUUAUCUCUAAACAAUCAUGCAUUGUCACCUAAGGCAUGGGUGUGUCUGGUUAAUUACUUUCCUUAUAUCUGAGAGAGAAUUCAAGGGGAAGAUCUCCACUUUGCAUGAAUUUAGCUUGUGCCAAAUACUUACAUCUCCUGGGUGCAAGUGCACAGGCUUUUCUAGAGAAAAGGGAACAACCGGGGUAAAACUGGUCAGUCUCUUUGAUCUGGUUAGUACUAAUGUGCAAAGAACUAUAUCUGUUAGAUUUUCCUGUAUUAAUUAGAGAACCAAAUAUUGAAUGCUUCCUAUAACUCCCCCAGUCAUUGAAGCAAACUGGAUGGUCCAAAUUGAUCAUUGUUUAGUGAUUGUUUGCAAAACCUUUUUAUUCUUUAGUAACAUAUCUUUCAUUAUAUGAAAAUUAUAAAUGUAUGGAUUUAUACUUCUUUUGACAGUGAACCUAGUUCAGAUGCAUCUCGGAUAUUACAAUCACCUAUGACUAGCCGAAGCUCCACAUACAGCCAAUGUGAACAGUUGAGAUCACCAGAUUCAUUCUUAAGACAAAAUGAAUCAUUUAAUUGGCAUGGAAGCCAUAUCCAAGAUCUGCCCGUGCAUGCAUCUACUAAUUCUAAUGGAGGUAGAAAUGUGGCAGCAUUGUCAUCUCCCUUGCCUGUUGAGCUUCCAAUUCCUCAAAGUAGAGUAAGUAUGGGGGGGAGUCCAUCUGAUCCAUGGGCAGGAAUUUCAAGGAGUUCUCAGAGUUCAUGUCGUUCAUCAUCAACAAACUAUGAGGAAAUUAGCAACUUCAGUAUGUUAUCAUUGGCCAAUUAUGAAGAGGCUGAAGCUGGGUCAGUGAUAUUAACUUCAGUGCAUGAUUCCGAGAAGGAUCUCCCUUCUGCACCUUCCCAUCAUUAUCUUGUGAGUACUAUAUCACAAUCUAUUUGUUCAUGGUCUCGUAGGAAAAAAAGCAACUAACGGAAACAAAGUUCAGUUUGUAAUCUUGCAUGAGCUUAAGUUAUUUUCAUUUAAGGUUUUCUUGUUCCCUUUAACUAGACAUCAAAGUAUCAUUGCAAGCUCAUCUCUUCAAUAAGGCAGCCUUGGCAACAUGUUUUGGUAGUUUUAGCGAGUUGAUGGUAUUAUUAUAACACUCUAAUUUAUUCCUAUAUUGGAAGUGGGUAGUGAAUUGACUUAUAAGAUUUAGUCAUUCAUUGGAAGGGGGUAAUGAAUUGACUUAUAAGGGUAUGAUGAGUAUACUAUUAUUACUUUAGCCUUAAAACAUUUUAGAUAAGUCAGUUCUGUAUUAAAGGUCUGCUCUAACUGAUAUCAUUUUGUCAAAUAAGAAAUAUUGGGCAAUCUCUUCUAUUCUUGUAAACACUCCCAAUGUAUUGUGAUUAGAUUCCAAAUGUAACAGCAAAUGAUUAUUUUCUAGAAGUGAUAUGCACAAUAUGUUCUCGCAUAUUUUGAUUUUAAAAAGGGCCUCAUUUGACAUGAAAAAAUAAUCCAUUCCAUUUUACAGGAAGAUCUGGGGUCAGAUGGUGAUGUGUAUAAUAAACUUCAAGAAGCCAUGAAAGAGGCUGAGAACUUGAAGAAUGAGGCUUAUGAAGAAUCCUGCAAGCGCCGAAAAGCUGAACUGAAUGCAGUUUUAGCUUACCAAAAGGUAUAUCUUUUCCAUCAUAAAUCUUCUUGAUAUAACAUUAGUUUAGAAUGCAUGAUAUAUAGUUCAUAGUUGUUGUAAAGAUCGUUUAAAAUUUUAGUCAUCUCAAAAAGAGAUUAGAAAUUUCUCUAUGGAAAACCAAUCAUUUACCUCCAGUAUGUUGACAAUUUUCCCUUUCAGGCCAAAGCAUCAGAGAAUUUAUACAUGAAGGAGGUGAGACUCAGGAAAGAAAUCGAGGAAGCAUUUGCAAGGGAAAAGUUGGAAGUAGAAAAGCUAAAGAGUCAACACUAUGAAAUUUCUAAACGUCUCCAAAAUGCAAUCGAACAAAAGUUGGAAUUGGAACUUAAGAUUUCUGAAUCUGAACAUGUUGCCAAAGAGUAUGACAGAAAACUCACAGAGGCGCAUCAUCUUCU
rnacentral:lncRNA from 1 species